rnacentral:rRNA from 1 species
UACGGAGGGUGCGAGCGUUGUCCGGAAUCACUGGGCGUAAAGGGCGCGUAGGUGGCGACCCAAGUCAACGGUGAAAGCUCGGCGCUCAACGCCGAGUCGGCCGUCGAUACUGGGAUGCUUGAGCACUGUAGAGGCAGAUGGAAUUCCGGGUGUAGCGGUGGAAUGCGUAGAGAUCCGGAAGAACACCGGUGGCGAAGGCGGUCUGCUGGGCAGUAGCUGACACUGAGGCGCGACAGCGUGGGGAGCGAUCCGG